GGUCCGGUUCCGGAGCUGACAUGAUCGAAGUAGUGGCAGAGCUGAGCCGGGGUCCUGUGUUCCUGGCGGGGGAGGCGCUGGAGUGUGUGGUGACGGUCACCAACCCGCUGCUCCCCACGGCCACCUCGGCAUCCAGUGAGGCUCUGGCCUGGGCCAGUGCACAGAUCCACUGCCAGUUCCAUGCCAGUGAGAGUCGAGUCGCACUGCCUCCCCCAGACUCCAACCAGCCAGAUGUUCAGCCUGAGAGCCAGACUGUCUUUCUACCACACCGAGGUGAGAGGGGUCAGUGUAUCCUUUCUACUCCACCAAAAAUCCUAUUCUGUGACCUGAGGCUAGAACCUGGGGAGUCCAAAUCAUACUCCUACAGCGAAGUGCUGCCCAUAGAGGGACCACCCUCCUUCCGAGGUCAGUCAGUUAAGUAUGUCUACAAAUUGACCAUUGGCUGCCAGCGUGUCAACUCACCCAUCACACUACUCAGGGUCCCUCUGAGGGUUCUUGUGCUGACUGGCCUUCAGGAUGUCCGGUUUCCCCAGGAUGAGGCUGUAGCCCCAUCCAGUCCAUUCUUGGAGGAGGAUGAAGGGGGGAAGAAGGAUUCAUGGCUAGCUGAGCUGGCUGGGGAGCGCCUCAUGGCUGCCACAUCCUGCCGCAGCCUCCAUCUAUACAAUAUCAGUGAUGGCCGAGGAAAAGUUGGGACAUUUGGCAUCUUCAAAUCUGUAUACAGACUUGGCGAGGACGUGGUGGGAACCUUAAACUUAGGGGAAGGAACUGUAGCUUGUUUGCAGUUUUCAGUAAGUUUGCAGACCGAGGAGCGUGUACAGCCAGAGUACCAGCGGCGCCGCGGGGCAGGGGGUGCCCCUUCUGUGUCCCAUGUGACUCAUGCCCGACACCAGGAGUCCUGCCUCCAUACAACCAGAACCAGCUUCUCCCUCCCCAUCCCUCUCAGCUCCACCCCAGGCUUCUGCACUGCCAUUGUGUCCCUGAAGUGGCGAUUGCAUUUUGAAUUUGUAACAUCCCGAGAACCAGGUUUGGUGCUCCUACCUCCUAUGGAACAGCCCGAGCCUGUCACCUGGACAGGGCCUGAGCAGGUGCCUGUAGACACCUUCAGCUGGGACCUCCCCAUCAAGGUGCUGCCCACAAGCCCGACCCUGGCCUCAUAUGCAGCCCCAGGCCCCAGUACCAGCACCAUAACCAUCUGAAACUGGCCCACCACAGCACUACUUUCUUCAGGAUCCUGAGAACUCGGCACCUGGACUCUAACUGGAGAAGGCUGAGAGGGGAGAGUCAUUCCUGUGAAGAUGAAGAGACUUCAUGAAAGAGGCUGUGUUUCAGGAGCUGAGAGAGACUUGUAAGGCUGUGAUGAAUGGUAGUUGGGUGGGAGGGAGGGCCCAGAGUUUCAAGAACAUACAAUUGCUAUACCCAAACAGCCCAGUGUUCUCUCUGGCAGAGAAUAUAAAAGAUGAUAUGGUUGUAGUCUGGAUUUCAACUAUAGUUAAGUUUCUAUUAAUAACCCAUAUUGAAGUUUUCCUACCCCACCUCUGGAACCAUUCUCACCAAUUUUUUUUUUUUUCCUGCUUGCACUCAUAAUUAACCACCCUCUAAUUUAACUGAAUUCCCUAUUUGCUUUUAUUUUUCCUGCCUGCUCCACAAUCUGCUUAUUGCAGUAGUGACUUUUAAAAUUCCAUUUAUGAGACUCUCGCUUUUAUCUCAUUGAUAAAUUGCUCUUUUCUUAAAAUUAUAGACUCAAACUAAAUAGGCAAAAUGCAUCUAGUUCUCAUCGCUGGAAGGUGACCGAGUAGGUUUUGCUUGAUUGUCUCUACCGAAAGGAGUGCGUUACUUCCUCCUGCAGUGGGGGCUGCCAGUUCUACUAUCUAGCUUUAGUUAUCUCAUAUUUUCCCUUAGUUUUGCUUUUUGAAACAGUAUGGAAGAAAUUUUUCUUUUCAGUGUGGCAGCUCUUUAAAGAUUUGAAAGGGGUUUGUAUUUUGUCUGUGUAUUUUUCUCCUCCGGCAUGUCCAGUAGAAUUUUCUGCACUGAUGGAAAUGUCCCCUGCCUGUCCUGUCUAAUGAUUAGCCACCAGCCCCUUGGAAAUGUGGCUAGCGUGAUGUGACUACGAAACAGAAUUCUAAUUUUACUUAAUUUUAGUUAUUUAAGUUUAAAUAGCCAGAUGAGGUGAGUGACUCUUGUGUUAGCGAGCUCUAAAAACUCUGGAACUUAGUACUUCAUCACUGGCUGUCUUUUGGCUGUUCCAAAAAAAUCUUAUGGUCACCUCAAACACAGGAAAACACGCGAAACUGGGCUCUUGUCUGUUUGGAGGCCAGUCUUACACGUUGGCACAACCUAGAAAAAAACACAAACCUAACCUCUAGAGUCCUGAUAGUGUCAGUUUUUUUAUUUCUUUAUUGAUUAAACUAUUACAUAUGUGUCCUUAUCUCCCCAUUACCUUUUUUUCACCCCCCUGUUGUCUGUGUCCAUUGGUUAGGCUUAUAUUGAUAGUGUCAGUUUUUAUUGAAGCUUUCUUAGGAGGGGUAAAAGAUGAAGGUUUCCUGUCAUCUUCCAUAACUCAAAGCAAAACUUAAAAAAUUCCUUAUUCAAUCUCUCUCUUUCCCUAAGGGAAAGAGCCCCUGAAGUUCCUCUCCAUAAUGCCUGCCAAAUCCCUCCCUUCUCUUUUCUCUCACAAACGACUUUCCUCCUCUUUGAACCUUACUCCUCCAUUCUCUGUGAGCACCACGUCUGCCCUCUUCCCUUUCGAGGAGAGCUCUUAGGUGUGUCUCCAGCUCCUCUUCCCUUUUAUGAUCUCUGCUCAGUAAAUCCAGGGAACUUCUGGACUCGUCUUUCUUGGGGGUGAUUGUGGCUAGGAGGUCAUAAGUAACUUCUUUUCCUUUCUCACAUAACUCUUGAUCUCCUUCUAGAAGCCCUCUCAUUUUCUUUUCUUGUCAUUGCUGAACAGUCUUCAGCAUUCUUUUUGCAGAAGUUUCUCUAACAUCUUUUCAUUCCAGAUCUAUGCUUAACAGAUCCUAAAGCUACUUCUUCACAAUUCCUUUAUCCAUUUGUCUUUUAAAAUUAUUUUGCUUAUAUAUUAUUUGUAAUAAGCUUAUCACCUCUUCACCAGCCUUCUACAUUGCAUAGGCUGCCUCCGCCGGGGGAGCAGCAUUCAUUUCCCACUGCUGUCCCCAGUGCCCUUCGUCCCUGACUCCCUUCCCUGCUCACCAUUGUUGUCCACGCAUCCCUCCCAGUAUUGUCUGUUCUUCUCAUCUCCUCCUUGUCCAUAUUUAUAAUAACGUUCACUAUUUUUAAAAGAUCAUUUUUGGGUUCUCAUUUUUUCCAGGGGCUCUCCCCUAAGUCUCUGUCCUGUGACAUAAAACUGCAUGCAGCAUUGAUCUCUGUGGGUUGGGGGAGAUGGGGUUGAGGGGCAGAAUAUCCUCUCAACCAUGGCGCUAAUGUGGGCUGGAUAUUCUUCUGUCGGGCGGGGAGACUAUCCUGUGCACUGCGGGAUGUUUAGCAGCACCCCAGCCUCUACCCUCUAGACAUCAGAGGUACCCUCUCCAUUGUGACAACCCAAAAUACCUCCAGACAUUGCCAGAUGUGCCCUGGAGGGCAACAUUUCCCCACCCUCUCCUCUUGUUGAGAACUGCUGUUCUAGAAUAUCACCUUUCUGAAGUUGAUAGAUGGUUAUACUUUUUCUUCCCAAUUUGUGAUUUGUUUGCUUAGCCUAGAUUUUUAAAAGUGUGGUUUUUGUCUUACUUGGUAGGAGGGAGCCUCUUAAAAUUGCAGGUUCCCGAUCUCAUCCGAGGCCUACUGAAUCAGAAAUUCUGGAAGUGGAAUUUGGAAAUAAAAUUUUUACAAGGCAGUACCCCCAACCCCUUCCCAAACAGGUAAUUCUUAUGCCCUGGGCUUGACCUUCCUGUGGUAUAACUGCUGCAUUACCCACAUUUUUUUCCUGCAGGUCUUCCUGGUUGCUCCAGCUUUGCUUCCGCUCUUGGCCUCAUGAUGCCAACACAAAUAGGGAGGCCUCAGGUUACCCGGACAACUGGAGCACAGGAAACCGUAAAGGCGCAGCCCUCCCACAAGGAAUCAGACUGUGGCCAUGCCCGCUUGCUUUCACCGAAGGGACUCAGUCAUACUUCCUACUCCCCGUUCUCCAACUACCCAGUAUAGCAGAUACCCAGGCCCAAGUCACAGACCCUGGUUUUUCAGACCUGGUAGUGGAAUAUGGAAUGAAUGGGAUGAAGAAAGGUGAAUGAACCUUUUUCACAUUGAUAGUCCAUGUUACCUUGGUGAUAAUUGAGUUUUGUACUGGUGAGAAUUAGAUUCCCCUGAAAGUUGAUAAGAUUAUGAGCUGUAGAGUCACAGUUGCUUCAUUGGACCUUGAGUCUUGGAUCUCUUUGCAUUCCUGGCUAGAUGUUUUUACAAUUGGCUUUGGGUCAAAGAUUUAGCAAUCUACUUCUGAUACACUGGGAGCAGUGUAUGUUUAGCAAGAAAAGAAUAGUCAACGUAUUAUGAAUUUGGGUUCUAUUUACAUUUCAUUACGAAACUAGACAUUUAAAGGAAGAGUAUCUGUUUUGAUUAAGUAUUUAAGCAUUUGUACAUCAUAAGCAUCUAUAGAAACAAGCAGCAGAGCUUUUUUAAAUUCAAUUCAAAAUACUGUGGCAGUUAACUGGUUAAACCCACAAGUAAAUGAAAAUCUACUUGCAUUUAGAUGCUUAGAAACUGUUGAAUUGAUCCAAAACCAGAGUAGGCCACCUCCGUGGACCAUGCAUGGCAGGUCAGAGCGAGAGAGAAUCAAGGCAGACUUGAUAGCCCUUUUCCAACAGUGGAAAGACUGUCCUGGGGAAGGGUUAGAAUGGUUCCAGAGGUGGAAUGCAGACCUUUAUUUCAGAUAGCAGUGAUGGGGCACAGACUUUGGCUUAAUAAGGAAGAACAUUUAAGUAGUUAGAGGACCUCAAAUUGGAAUGAGCUGACAUUAGGCAAUGAAUUACUUGUGACUGAAUUGUUUAUAUGGAGGUUAGAUGAUCAUUGCACAAGGUUUGGAUGAGAUUUUGGACAUUAAUUUGAGUUUGGCCUAUAAAGGGAAGCAGGCAAAUUUAUUGGAAGUCAGUUCACCCUUUCUAUUACAUGAUUUUGUGGCAGCUAUUAACGUCAUUACUAUUUUCCUGGGUACCUCUCUUUGCUAAUUUUACCCCUUGAGUCAUUGAAUAUUAGAGCUGAUAGUAGAGUCUUUAGAGAUUUAUCAAAUGUUGUUCUCUAGUCCUCUGGCGAUUCCUCAAGAAUGCCUCAAGGGUGGCUGAGAGGUGAAAUUAAGGAUAGCUGGCACUAUUAGCCUGUUAGCCAUGCUUCUGUGAGAACAAUCUUGCCUUUAAAAUUUUUUUCCAGAAAAAAAAAGAGUUCUGAAAAAUACUCUUAGAGGCCCCAGUAUUCCAAGUUCUUCAUUUUAUUGACAGGAAAACUGAGAUAUGGAGCAGAGAAGUGCCUUGCCAAAAGGUCACAUAGCUAAUAAAUUUCACAGUUGGAAUUCAAAUCUAGCUCUUCUAAUUCCAGUCAUUUGUGUUUUUUCCCCCCUCUACUAGUCUACCUUCUUAUAAUUCAGUAAAAGUUUCUCUCCAUUUCACUGGCCACAACAAUAGUCCAGAAUUUUAUUUCUUCAGCUUUACUAUUUCCUAUUCGUCACUGAGCUGGUCUCCCUGUUAUCCAAUCUCUCCUUCUUCUGGUCUAUAUCAUAUACACUGUUGCCAUGUUAUUCUUCAUGAAACAUGGUCUUCAUCAUGAGAUUUCCCUGCUUAAGAACCUUCUCUGUAUUGCUGAAAGGAACUUUUCAGCCUGACACAUUGUUAACAUUCUUUAGGAUCUUCAUUGUUCAGCUAAGCUGAGCCCAAGUCCAUCCUAUUAUGGGUAAUUAAUGGGCCAUAUAAUAGUGAGAUUAAUUGAGCCCCACCCUACCUCUAGACUCCAACUUUGGCAGAAUUUUUAUGUGUACAGUUUUAAUUAGGGAUAACGAGAAGAUACAAAAGAAAUAGAAGACUGGAAAAAAAAUAGAUUUCAUAAAAAGAAGUUGCAUAACAAUGUUUUAUAUAAUCCUAUUUGUAGUACACAUACAUACAUAAAAAAACACACAAAAAUGAGGUGUAUAGAAAUUGGAAGAAAACACACCAAAUUGAUAAGAGACCUUAACUUUGAUGAGGUGGAUUGAGAAAGGAAAGGGGAUGGGGAGGAAUAAAAAAUAUAUUUUAAAAA